GUGCUCACUCUGACAGCACAUAUGCUAAAAUAGGGAAGAUCCAGAUAAGAUUCACAUGGCCUCUGUGCAAGAGUUUUGUAUGAUUAAAAAGAAAAAAAAAAUCAAAACUUU
rnacentral:snRNA from 1 species